GCGAACGAACGUGGAUGAGGCUAAACCGUGUGCAUGUGAUACCUGGUAGGGGUUGUGUGUGCGGUGUUGUGGGCCCUGAUGAGGAUGGCUACUGACGUCCUGCCCGCGCAUUGUUGUUAGGUGAAGUGGUGUGGAAACGCCUGCCGUAGAAGGUGAUAGUCCUGUAGCUGAAGAUGAUGGUGUGUGGGUUGUUGGGUUGCCCGAGUAGCAGCGGGCUCGUGGAAUCUGCUGUGAAUCUGCCGGGACCACCCGGUAAGCCUAAAUACUCAGUGUGACCGAUAGUGGAUAGUACCGUGAGGGAAUGGUGAAAAGUACCCCGGGAGGGGAGUGAAAUAGUUCCUGAAACCAUGUGCUUACAAUCCGUCAGAGCACUUUUUGUGUGUGAUGGCGUGCCUUUUGAAGA
rnacentral:rRNA from 1 species